AUGGGCACACCUCUCCUGGAUCCGCCGGCUUGCUUCUCCGGCGAGCUCCCUGGCCACUAUAAUCUCUUAUCCAACACGAGCCCCUCCAUUCUCCUCCCCCCUCCCACCUCAUCAGCCCUCUCUUUCUCGCUGAAGGCUACAAGGGGCGCAUGCGUAGAUGCUGCGCCCAGCCACCAUCCCUGCAAAUGUCGAGCUCAGGCGACACUGGUGAUGCAACCAGCUCCGCGGGCUGCUACAACCGGCAUCACGCGGUGCUACAGCCAGCACCACUGGGAGCUAGAACAGGCUGCUCCAGAGAUGCGGCGGCACGCCGCCGUUUGCUGGAAUCAGCACCACGGGAAGCUGCAACCAACUUUGCAGAUAGCUGCAACCAGUAGUCUGCGGUGCUAUGACCAAUAG
rnacentral:rRNA from 1 species